rnacentral:rRNA from 1 species
AUACGGAGGACGCGAGCGUUAUCCGGAUUCAUUGGGUUUAAAGGGUGCGCAGGCGGCCGUGCAAGUCAGCGGUGAAAGCCCGGGGCCCAACCCCGGAAGUGCCGUUGAUACUGCAUGGCUUGAAUGCGGUCGAGGCGGGCGGGACGUGACGUGUAGCGGGGAAAAGCGUAGAUAUGCCACAGAACGCCGAUAGCGGAGGCAGCUCGCCAGGCCUGCAUUGACGCUCGGGCACGAAAGCGUGGGGAUCGAACAGGAUUAGAUACCCUGGUAGUCCACGCCGUAAACGAUGGGCGCUCGUCGUCGGCGGCAGACAGUCGGCGGCCAAGCGAAAGCGAUAAGCGCCCCACCUGGGGAGUACGGUCGCAAGGCUGAAACUCAAAUGAAUUGGCGGGG